UACGUAGGGGGCGAGCGUUGUCCGGAAUUAUUGGGCGUAAAGAGCUCGUAGGCGGCUUGUCACGUCGGGUGUGAAAGCCCGGGGCUUAACCCCGGGUCUGCAUUCGAUACGGGCUAGCUAGAGUGUGGUAGGGGAGAUCGGAAUUCCUGGUGUAGCGGUGAAAUGCGCAGAUAUCAGGAAGAACACCCGUGGCUAAGGCGGCUCUCUAGUACGGUACUGACGCUGAGACGCGAAAGCGUGGGGAGCGAACAGG
rnacentral:rRNA from 1 species